UAGGCACACAAGGAGACCUUCAAGAGGAUCUCACCAUGGACACUUGAACUCCAGCGAAUAAUCUUUAUUAAAUUGCUCGGACUGGAAAUGGAGUUAACGCGGAGAAAUCUCCUUUUGGAUAUAUUGUGUUUUAGGGUUUCAGGUGUAUUUUGGCUUGACCCCUUUAUGAUUGUACUUUGGAAGUUUAAUGUAUCAUUCGGAUAUCUGUGAUGUAUAUUUUGAAAUUUAAGUUGUAUUAUGAACGCACGACGUGCGGGUGG